UGGGGAAUAUUGCGCAAUGGGGGAAACCCUGACGCAGCAACGCCGCGUGAAGGAUGAAGGUUUUCGGAUUGUAAACUUCUUUGAUGGGGGAAGAAUAAAUGACGGUACCCCAAAAACAAGCCACGGCUAACUACGUGCCAGCAGCCGCGGUAAUACGUAGGUGGCGAGCGUUGUCCGGAAUUACUGGGUGUAAAGGGCGUGUAGGCGGGAUUGCAAGUCAGAUGUGAAAUUCCGAGGCUUAACCUCGGCGCUGCAUCUGAAACUGUAAUUCUUGAGUGUUGGAGAGGAUAGUGGUAUUCCUAGUGUAGCGGUGAAAUGCGUAGAUAUUAGGAGGAACACCAGUGGCGAAGGCGACUAUCUGGACAAUAACUGACGCUGAGGCGCGAAAGCGUGGGGAGCAAACAGGAUUAGAUACCCUGGUAGUCCACGCCGUAAACGAUGGAUACUAGGUGUAGGAGGUAUCGACCCCUUCUGUGCCGGAGUUAACACAAUAAGUAU
rnacentral:rRNA from 1 species